GUUUAGAUAGCUCAGAUUGGUAGAGCAAAGGACUGAAAAUCCUUGGGCCGGCAGUUCAAAUCUGUCUCUAAACA
rnacentral:tRNA from 1 species